rnacentral:rRNA from 1 species
AGUAAUAUAUCGGAACGUACCCUAGAGUGGGGGAUAACGUAGCGAAAGUUACGCUAAUACCGCAUACGAUCUACGGAUGAAAGCGGGGGAUCGCAAGACCUCGCGCUCAUGGAGCGGCCGAUAUCUGAUUAGCUAGUUGGUAGGGUAAAAGCCUACCAAGGCAUCGAUCAGUAGCUGGUCUGAGAGGACGACCAGCCACACUGGGACUGAGACACGGCCCAG